CGCAUUAGCUAGUUGGUGAGGUAACGGCUCACCAAGGCAACGAUGCGUACCCAACCUGAGAGGGUGAUCGGCCACACUGGGACUGAAACACGGCCCAAACUCCUACGGGAGGCAGCAGUAGGGAAUCUUCCGCAAUGGACAAAAGUCUGACGGACCACCGCCGCGGGAGUGAUGAAGGUUUUCGGAUCGUAAAACUCUGUUGUUAGGGAAAAACAAGUACCGUUCGAAUAGGGCGGUACCUUGACGGUACCUAACCAAAAAGCCACGGCUAACUACGUGCCAGCAGCCGCGGUAAUACGUAGGUGGCAAGCGUUGUCCGGAAUUAUUGGGCGUAAAGCGCGCGCAGGCGGUUUCUUAAGUCUGAUGUGAAAGCCCCCGGCUCACCCGGGGAGGGUCAUUGGAAACUGGGGAACUUGAGUGCAAAAAAGGAGAGUGGAAUUCCACGUGUAGCGGUGAAAUGCGUAAAGAUGUGGAGGACCACCAGUGGCGAAGGCGACUCUCUGGUCUGUAACUGACGCUGAGGCGCGAAAGCGUGGGGAGCGAACAGGAUUAGAUACCCU
rnacentral:rRNA from 2 species